UUGUCUCAAAGAUUAAGCCAUGCAUGUCUCAGUACAAGCUUAAAUAAAGUGAAACCGCGAAAGGCUCAUUAAAUCAGUUAUGGUUCCUUAGAUCGUACCCACAUUUACUUGGAUAACUGUGGUAAUUCUAGAGCUAAUACAUGCAAACCGAGUCCCGACCGGAGACGGAAGGGACGCUUUUAUUAGAUCAAAACCAAUCGGCGACUUCGCAACCAAGUUCGCGUCGUCGUCGCACACAUUGGUGAAACUGAAUAACUUUACGCUGAUCGCAAGGUCUAGAACCGGCGACGCAUCUUUCAAAUGUCUGCCUUAUCAACUGUCGAUGGUAGGUUCUGCGCCUACCAUGGUUGUAACGGGUAACGGGGAAUCAGGGUUCGAUUCCGGAGAGGGAGCCUGAGAAACGGCUACCACAUCCAAGGAAGGCAGCAGGCGCGCAAAUUACCCACUCCCGGCACGGGGAGGUAGUGACGAAAAAUAACGAUACGGGACUCAUCCGAGGCCCCGUAAUCGGAAUGAGUACACUUUAAAUCCUUUAACGAGGAUCAAUUGGAGGGCAAGUCUGGUGCCAGCAGCCGCGGUAAUUCCAGCUCCAAUAGCGUAUAUUAAAGUUGUUGCGGUUAAAAAGCUCGUAGUCGAAUCUGUGUCCCGCGCCGCCGGUUCAUCGCUCGCGGUGUUCAACUGGCGUUUUCGCGGGACGUCCUGCCGGUGGACCGGAUCGCGUCGCGCGAGCGUCGUCGGUCGGUCCAACUGCAAAUCCCACCGCGGUGCUCUUCACUGAGUGUCGAGGUGGGCCGGCACGUUUACUUUGAACAAAUUAGAGUGCUUAAAGCAGGCUAAAAUUUCGCCUGAAUACUUAGUGCAUGGAAUAAUGGAAUAGGACCUCGGUUCUAUUUUGUUGGUUUUCGGAACCCCGAGGUAAUGAUUAAUAGGAACGGAUGGGGGCAUUCGUAUUGCGACGUUAGAGGUGAAAUUCUUGGAUCGUCGCAAGACGGACAUAAGCGAAAGCAUUUGCCAAAAACGUUUUCAUUGAUCAAGAACGAAAGUUAGAGGUUCGAAGGCGAUCAGAUACCGCCCUAGUUCUAACCAUAAACGAUGCCAGCUAGCGAUCCGCCGACGUUCCUCCGAUGACUCGGCGGGCAGCUUCCGGGAAACCAAAGCUUUUGGGUUCCGGGGGAAGUAUGGUUGCAAAGCUGAAACUUAAAGGAAUUGACGGAAGGGCACCACCAGGAGUGGAGCCUGCGGCUUAAUUUGACUCAACACGGGAAACCUCACCAGGCCCGGACACCGGAAGGAUUGACAGAUUGAGAGCUCUUUCUUGAUUCGGUGGGUGGUGGUGCAUGGCCGUUCUUAGUUGGUGGAGCGAUUUGUCUGGUUAAUUCCGAUAACGAACGAGACUCUAGCCUGCUAACUAGGCGUAUUUUCGACAUUUCUAAAGUCACCUCGGUCCCGGUGCGCAAGUGUCGUGGUUCCGAGCGCGACUUUAACUGUCGGCGUACAAAUAAAUCUUCUUAGAGGGACAGGCGGCUUCUAGCCGCACGAGAUUGAGCAAUAACAGGUCUGUGAUGCCCUUAGAUGUUCUGGGCCGCACGCGCGCUACACUGAAGGAGUCAGCGUGUUUUCCCUGACCGAAAGGGCCGGGUAAUCCGCUGAACCUCCUUCGUGCUAGGGAUUGGGGCUUGCAAUUCUUCCCCAUGAACGAGGAAUUCCCAGUAAGCGCGAGUCAUAAGCUCGCGUUGAUUACGUCCCUGCCCUUUGUACACACCGCCCGUCGCUACUACCGAUUGAAUGAUUUAGUGAGGUCUUCGGACCGGUACGCGGCGGCGUCUGACGUCGCCGCUGAUGCUGCGAAGAUGACCAAACUUGAUCAUUU
rnacentral:rRNA from 2 species